rnacentral:tRNA from 1 species
GGGUGAGUAGCUCAGCUGGUUAGAGCGCCGAGCUUAUACCUCGGUGGUCGAUGGUUCGAGUCCAUCCUCACCCACCA